GACGAACGCUGGCGGCGUGCUUAACACAUGCAAGUCGAACGGAAAGGCCCUGCUUUUGUGGGGUGCUCGAGUGGCGAACGGGUGAGUAACACGUGAGUAACCUGCCCUUGACUUUGGGAUAACUUCAGGAAACUGGGGCUAAUACCGGAUAGGAGCUCCUGCUGCAUGGUGGGGGUUGGAAAGUUUCGGCGGUUGGGGAUGGACGCGCGGCUUAUCAGCUUGUUGGUGGGGUAGUGGCUUACCCAGGCUUUGACGGGUAGCCGGCCUGAGAGGGUGACCGGCGACAAUGGGACUGAGAUACGGACCAGACUCCUACGGGAGGCAGCAGUGGGGAGUAUGACACAAUGGGCGGAAGCCUGAUGAAGCAACGCCGCGUGCGGGAUGACGGCCUUCGGGUUGUAAACCGCUGUCGCCGGUGACGAAGCGGGAGUGACGGUAAUGGGUAAAGAAGCACCGGCUAACUACGUG
rnacentral:rRNA from 1 species